AUGUCCAGAUUGGGGUGCUUUUUGAAAUAAUUUUUAAGUCAUUCCCAUGCUUCUAAAUAGCUCUCAAAAUCAUUGUAUUUGAAAGUAUGUAUCUAAUUUCUAAUUU
rnacentral:snoRNA from 1 species